CUCUGUCCAUUACCGUGCCCUGUAGCGAUGAUGAUAUCACCGCCCAGGCUAAUUGAGUUAUACCUUCUGCUCUGUUUGGCCCCUCGCACGUCAAGGCAAACAAUUAAUGCAUCAUUGCCCUGUCUCGACUCGAGGACCUGCGCUCGUGGGAAAAGAGAUCUAUGCCGCGAGGAGCACCUGCUGGCGGUCUGUUGACCUUAAUCGGAGAUGGUGCCGACGAAAGUUCCGGUGGGACGCUAACAGAAAAUCGCAGAUGGCCACAGUUCAGGCGUUACCAGUCUGACAGUGAGAUACAGCACUCUCUUCAUUUCUGUGGACAGAAAUGCAACAGUAAGACAAGAGGGAACAGAGCUCCACAGCAAUAUUGGAUUUACAGAGUCCAUCAAACAUUGCAAUGAAAAGAUUCAAUAAAAUUAGAAAUCUCA